rnacentral:rRNA from 1 species
UACAGAGGUCUCGAGCGUUAAUCGGAUUCAUUGGGCUUAAAGCGUACGUAGGCGGAUGUGCAGGCAUCGUGUGAAAUCCCCUGGCUCAACCAGGGAACUGCUCGGUGAACCGCACGUCUUGAGGCAAGUAGAGGCUGUCGGAACGAUAGGUGGAGCGGUGAAAUGCGUAGAUAUCUGGAGGAAUACCGGUGGCGAAGGCGGCAUCCUGGACCGACAUUGACGCUGAGGAGCGAAAGCCAGGGGAGCAAACGGG